rnacentral:rRNA from 1 species
UGGCGGCAGGCCUAAUACAUGUAAGUCGAACGGAUCCUUCGGGAUUAGUGGCGGACGGGUGAGUAACACGUGGGAACGUGCCCUUUGGUUCGGAACAACUCAGGGAAACUUGAGCUAAUACCGAAUGUGCCCUUCGGGGGAAAGAUUUAUCGCCAUUGGAGCGGCCCGCGUCUGAUUAGCUAGUUGGUGAGGUAAAGGCUCACCAAGGCUUCGAUCAGUAGCUGGUCUGAGAGGAUGAUCAGCCACACUGGGACUGAGACACGGCCCAGACUCCUACGGGAGGCAGCAGUAGGGAAUCUUGCGCAAUGGGCGAAAGCCUGACGCAGCCAUGCCGCGUGAAUGAUGAAGGUCUUAGGAUUGUAAAAUUCUUUCAGCGGGGACGAUAAUGACGGUACCCGCAGAAGAAGCCCCGGCUAACUUCGUGCCAGCAGCCGCGGUAAUACGAAGGGGGCUAGCGUUGCUCGGAAUUACUGGGCGUAAAGGGCGCGUAGGCGGAUGUUUAAGUCAGAGGUGAAAGCCCAGGGCUCAACCCUGGAACUGCCUUUGAUACUGGACAUCUUGAGUAUGGGAGAGGUGAGUGGAACUCCGAGUGUAGAGGUGAAAUUCGUAGAUAUUCGGAAGAACACCAGUGGCGAAGGCGACUCACUGGCCCAUUACUGACGCUGAGGCGCGAAAGC